rnacentral:rRNA from 1 species
AUGGCUGAGACGGGAGAUGCAAGUCGCUUGCCAACAUCCCUUGAUGUGCUGGCUUCAGAUGUUCACUCCAGGCUGGAGUUCCACAGGUAUGCCUUCAUGGACUGUGUUGGCAUUAAAAAUGCGCUUCACUGUGUCAUCGAAGAAAGGGAAAACCUCCAGCAACGACAAAAUGCGAUUGACCAACUGGUUGCUGAAAAGGACAGCCUCACUAAAAAGAAUGAAGAGCUCGCAGCAGAGCUUGAAUCUCUGAAGGAACAGCUCCAAGCAAGGGAAUCGAGCGAUCAACAGCAGGGAAGUGGUUUUCAGCAGAGCCACUCUGGAAUGCAGGCACACCCAAGAUUAAUGCUGAAAAGGAAACGGCAAUCUGGAGAUGAAGAUGUUGAUGAGCAUGAGCUUAUGGAAGAUCUUUCCGUUAUAGAUAAUCCUGAUCAAGGUUUAAACACUGAGCUCGAAGCUACUAGAAAGGAAAUUUCUGAUAUCCACUCUAAGCUGAUUGAGGGGUUCGCUGAUCUUAGUACUACUGGAGGAAGGAAUAUCGCCCUAAAAAACAUAGGGCAAUUGGAUGACAGGCCAUUCCUGGCGGCAUGCCGUAAGAAGCUGCCUGCCGAAGAAGCACAAGAAAAAGCUAAAGAAGUACACCGUGUUUGGCAGGGGCAUAUACAGAACCCAGAGUGGAAUCCCUUCAAGACUGUCACAGUUGAAGGUAUCCCGAAGGAGAUUAUCGAUGUCGAUGAUGACAAGCUGCAAGGGCUAUGUGCUGCAUGGGGUGAAGGGGUGCACAAGGCUGUGGUGAGUUGUUUGGUAGAAAUUCAAGAAAGUGGCAGGCUGGGAGAUAGAAACAUUGUACCCGAGGUCUGGAAUUACAAGUGCAAGAGAAAGGCCACUCACAGUGAGAGCAUCGAGUACUUGUUCGGUCAAGUGAAGCGUCUGAGUGACGCGAAAUCCAGAACCCGCAGGAGACUACAAUAG